GUGACCUUUCACCAGUCUCUGCCUGUGGGUCUCUCCUGGGCCCAGCCAUUGCUUUGGUGCUGAGAUGCUUCAAAGCUUUAUUAAAAAUGUAUGGGUCCCCAUGAAACCUUACUAUACCGAAGUUUACCAGGAGAUCUGGAUGGGAAUGGGGUUGAUGAGCUUCAUUGUUUAUAAAAUCAGGAGUGCUGAUAAAAGAAGUAAAGCUUUGAAAGCUCCUGCACCUCCACAACUAUGA